rnacentral:rRNA from 1 species
UACGGAGGGUGCAAGCGUUAAUCGGAAUUACUGGGCGUAAAGCGCGCGUAGACGGUUUUGUAAGUCAGAUGUGAAAUCCCUGGGCUCAACCUGGGAACUGCAUUUGAAACUGCAUGGCUAGAGUAUGGAAGAGGGAAGUGGAAUUCCCAGUGUAGAGGUGAAAUUCGUAGAUAUUGGGAAGAACACCGGUGGCGAAGGCGGCCAUCUGGACCGGCACUGACGCUGAGGCGCGAAAGCGUGGGGAGCAAACAGG